rnacentral:rRNA from 1 species
CAGUAGCCGCGGGAAUACGUAGGGCGCAAGCGUUAUCCGGAAUUAUUGGGCGUAAAGAGCUCGUAGGCGGUUUGUCGCGUCUGCCGUGAAAGUCCGGGGCUCAACCCCGGAUCUGCGGUGGGUACGGGCAGACUAGAGUGAUGUAGGGGAGACUGGAAUUCCUGGUGUAGCGGUGAAAUGCGCAGAUAUCAGGAGGAACACCGAUGGCGAAGGCAGGUCUCUGGGCAUUAACUGACGCUGAGGAGCGAAAGCAUGGGGAGCGAACAGGAUUAGAUACCCGGGUAGUCCCUGUCUCUUAUAA